rnacentral:misc_RNA from 1 species
AAGUCGUAACAAGGUUUCCGUAGGUGAACCUGCGGAAGGAUCAUUAACACGUAUCCAACGUUAAACCCCCCGUGAACCUUCAGUGCGCUCGCACUUUCUUAGAAAAGGUAGCAAUCCCUGGUAAAUCAUUGCCGAACAGUUUUGAUUCAGGGACUUCUGCGUAGACUGUGCUUGAGCGUGAGGCAAGUGGCCUGGCAUUCCUCUGCUUGUUGGUGUCUGAAAGUGUCACCAGCUCUGUACGAAUGGCGCAGUCACGAUCGCUAGAGGCCGACACGGCCGGCGACCGGGUCACUGGGCGCGAGCCCCCCUCGUCACCUUUGCAUGAAAACGGGCCCACCAAACUCGAACAACUGUUAACAACGGAAAUCUUGGUUCUC